rnacentral:rRNA from 1 species
AGCGAACGUUAGCGGCGCGCCUAACACAUGCAAGUCGCACGAGAAACGGAGCAAUCCGCGGUACAGUGGCGCACGGGUGAGUAACACGUGGAUGACCUUCCCUGGAGUGGUGGAUAACCUGCCGAAAGGCGGGCUAAUACAGCAUGGGACCACGACGCUUUGGCGAUGUGGUGAAAGCGGGCCUCUAUAUAUAAGCUCGCGCUCCGGGACGGGUCCGCGUCCCAUCAGCUAGUUGGUGAGGUAACGGCUCACCAAGGCUUCGACGGGUAGCUGGUCUGAGAGGAUGGCCAGCCACACUGGAACUGAGACACGGUCCAGACUCCUACGGGAGGCAGCAGUGGGGAAUCUUGCGCAAUGGGCGAAAGCCUGGCGCAGCGACGCCGCGUGGGCGAAGAAGGCCUCGG